UAUCCUGUCUGAAUAUGGGGGGACCAUCCUCCAAGGCUAAAUACUCCUGACUGACCGAUAGUGAACCAGUACCGUGAGGGAAAGGCGAAAAGAACCCCGGCGAGGGGAGUGAAAAAGAACCUGAAACCGUGUACGUACAAGCAGUGGGAGCACGCUUAGGCGUGUGACUGCGUACCUUUUGUAUAAUGGGUCAGCGACUUAUAUUCUGUAGCAAGGUUAACCGAAUAGGGGAGCCGAAGGGAAACCGAGUCUUAACUGGGCGUUAAGUUGCAGGGUAUAGACCCGAAACCCGGUGAUCUAGCCAUGGGCAGGUUGAAGGUUGGGUAACACUAACUGGAGGACCGAACCGACUAAUGUUGAAAAAUUAGCGGAUGACUUGUGGCUGGGGGUGAAAGGCCAAUCAAACCGGGAGAUAGCUGGUUCUCCCCGAAAGCUAUUUAGGUAGCGCCUCGUGAAUUCAUCUCCGGGGGUAGAGCACUGUUUCGGCAAGGGGGUCAUCCCGACUUACCAACCCGAUGCAAACUGCGAAUACCGGAGAAUGUUAUCACGGGAGACACACGGCGGGUGCUAACGUCCGUCGUGAAGAGGGAAACAACCCAGACCGCCAGCUAAGGUCCCAAAGUCAUGGUUAAGUGGGAAACGAUGUGGGAAGGCCCAGACAGCCAGGAUGUUGGCUUAGAAGCAGCCAUCAUUUAAAGAAAGCGUAAUAGCUCACUGGUCGAGUCGGCCUGCGCGGAAGAUGUAACGGGGCUAAACCAUG
rnacentral:rRNA from 1 species